UGAGCAAUCUGCCCUUCUCUUCGGAAUAAGCGUUGGAAACGACGUCUAAUGCCGAAUACGACCUCCUUUCGCAUGAUCGGAGGUGGAAAGCUCCGGCGGAGAAGGAUGAGCUCGCGGCCUAUCAGCUAGUUGGUGUGGGUAAUGGCCCACCAGGGCGACGACGGGUGGCCGGCCUGAGAGGGCGACCGGCCACACUGGGACUGAGACACGGCCCAGACUCCUACGGGAGGCAG
rnacentral:rRNA from 1 species